rnacentral:lncRNA from 1 species
AACCACAGCCCAAGAGGACAUUAAAAAAAAAAAUGAAGUUUAGUAGUUUAAGUGCCAAGGUUUUAUUUUUUAGGCACUUGGAGCAGAACUCUUUCUAAAUUAUAUUAUAUAUUUAAUUGCCUUCUUAAAUGAACACACAUGACAUACUUCAAUUCCAUAGGUACUUAGUACUAUCUGAAUGGGAAACAAGAGUGAAACCAAAGUUGAAAAACAUUGUACCUGCCCUCUGAAGUCUCUAAUUUUAGUGAUGAAGAUCAUAUAUGCAUGUGGAUAGCCACAGUACAAAGCUAGACUAGAACAGAACCUAUAGCAUGUCACCUUUUCUAAGUGACUCAAGGAUGGCCAUUAUUAUCAACACUUAUUUUGCCUAAAACGAUAGGGGUUAGGUGCUAAGUUAUAUAGGGCUGGCUUCUAACUCCAGUAGCACUAAUAGCCCAGGAUACUCCUGAUUAAAUAUCCCCUGCUUUUAGAUACCAGGAGUCUAGUUCUGUUUUUUUCAAUCUCUUUUGGUCUAUGGUGAGUACACUUGUUUUAUAAGUGCAGGAACUGUGUUCAUGGCAGGUUCUUAUCCCUUGGCCCCACACUCAACACACAGAACACACUCAAUAACUAUUUGUUGAUGGACUAAAUGAAUGAGUGUGAAUUUCCAGAAGACCUCUGCCUGAUAGAAAUAUAAUGCAAGCUACCUACAUAACUAAUUUUUCUAGUAGCCACAUUUUUUAAAAAAUCAUAAAAAGGAGCCAGUAAAGGUAAUUUUAUCAAUAUAUUUUAUUUAGCCCAAUAUAUACAAAAUAUAAUUUUUACAUGUCAUCAUUAUAAAAAUUAAUGAGGUAUUUUACAUUUUUUACACUCAUUUUACAUUCUUUUUCUACACUUAGAAAUUUGCUGCUUUUUAUACUCAAUGCACAUCUUCCUAAGUCACUUUUUUAUUUCCUUUGGUGGUACUAGGGAACCCAGAAGCACUCUAACACUAAGGAACUGAAUACUCUCCCCACCUUUUUUUUUUUUUUUGAGACAAGGUCUCACUAAGUUCCCCAGGCUGGCCUCAAACUCCAAAUGCUCCUCCCUCAGCCUCCCAAGUAGUUGGGAUUACAGGUGUAUACCAUGGUGCUCAGCCUUAUAGCACAUCUUAAUUAGGACUAGCUACAUGUGGCUCCUAGCUAUAAUACUGGAUAGUGCUGCUCUAGAAACUUCCAACUUUGCUAACUUGAUGGCUCUGAUGUGUGGGUCUAGAAUAUAGAUAGCCAGGCUGAGUGUGGUAGCACACACAAUUCCAGAUAUUUGGGAGGCCAAGGCAGGAGGAUAGCUAGUUUGAGGCCAAUCUGGGCAACUUAGCCAAACCUUAUCUCAAGCAUCCCUGAGUUCAAUCAUCAGUGAAAAAAAAAAAAAAAAAAAAAGAUUAAUAGCCACAGUAGUGCAAAUUUCCGUAAAACAACCAGAAUUCUAAUUGAGACCCCUGGGAACAGACUUAGAAGGGAAACUUAGACAUUUAGGCAGUUGCUUAGCUUGAGCUCAUCAACGUUGGCUUUGACUGUUUGUUCUCUUUCUAGGCUAACUCCAGGUCUUAAUUCAGGUCCUUUAUUUUUUUAAGCAACAAUGAUAAAUAAAGCAUGGGUAUACCUGCACUUAUGGCCUAAACAAAGAUCUCAGACAUUGGUCCUCUGAUCACUGAUUCUAAAAAUAGAUAUUUUAAACAUUCUGAGGCAGAGAGCAAAUUUAGCCUUUUGUUUCCUGGAAAUUAGAGAAAUCUGAUACACCACAAGAGCCCUUUUGGUUACUCUGGAAGGCCUUUCUAGGAAGCUCAUCAGAGAAUUUUCCACUUAGAUCCAUACCUCCCCUCCUUCAGAAAGGUCCUGGGUGCAAGUGUCACGACCACAUAAGAAUCUCAGGAAGAUGAAACAUGAAUAGACAGCAUAUACCUGUUUGUGUUGUCUUAAACUCCAUAAUUUCUGUUCUAUAAGAAGUGCUUUCCGGGCUGGAGCUAUAGCAAAGUGGCAGAGUUCUUGCCUAGCAUGUGUGAGGCACUGGGUUUGAUCCUCAGCACCACAUAAAAAUAAACGAAAAUAAGAAGGGCUUUCUGCUGGGCAUGGUGGUUCACUCCUAUAAUCCCAGCAGCUCCGGAGGCUGAGGCAGGAGGAUCUCGAGUUCAAAGUCAGCCUCAGUAAAAAUGAGGCACUAAGCAACUCAGUGGGACACUGUCUCUAAAUAAAAUAUAAAAGAGGGCUGGGAUUGUUGCUCAGUGGUUGAAUGUCCCUGAGUUCAAUCCCCAAUACCCCCACCAUACAAAAAAGAAGGGCUUUCCAUGACAACAGAUUAGUUUUACAAAGAAAGCCAACUUUUAAAGCUGGUGUUGGUAAUUGUGGUUGCAGGUAUGUUUUCAAAGACAGAGAACCCUUGUUUUGCUUUGAUUAUAUUUUUAAGUCCUUGUUAUCUCAAAUGUGUCAUACAAAUGUGUUGAUCUGCAUCAUUUUAUAAACACACUCAACUCUAGGAGUUCUAAAUAUAUUCCCAGAAUGCUAGGGAUGUUCAGAAUAUAAAUAUUCUAUUCUUUUGAGGUCUAAAGGCAAUGCCUCCCAAUCUUUUUCACAUCACGGUAUAAUAUUAUCUGUUGAGCCAUUAUAAAUAGCCCCAAACUCAUCAGCUUGAAACAAUAGUAAGCGAUAAAUAUCCUACCCAGACCUUGAGGAUUAGGAAUUUGAGAGUAGCUUAGCGGAGCAGUCUGACCUGGUCCCUGCAUGUGGUCACAGACAAGAUGUUGGUCAAGCUGCCCCCACCUGCAGGCUUGACCAAGGCUAGAGCAUCCUAUUCCAAGGUGGCUCAUUCACAUCACUGGUAAAUUAGUACUGAAUGUUUAGAGGCCUUAGUUCUCCAUGUGAACCUUUCCCUAGAUGUCUUGACUAUACUCAUGGCAUGGCGGCUUAUUUCACCUAGGGUGUGUGAAUCAACAGAAAGAAGGCAAAAGUGAUCACAUCUUUCAUGACCCAGCCUCAAAAGUCGAAUACUCUCAUGUCUGCCAUAUUCUAUUUUUUAGAAGUCACCAAGGUCAGCCCACAUUCAGGAGGAAAGCAAUUAGUCUGCAUUUUGAAUGAGGAGUGGGUACCAUGGAUUAAACUCAGGGGCACUCAACCACUGAGCCACAUCCCCAGCCCUAUUUUGUAUUUUAUUUAGAGACAGGUCUCACUGAGUUGCUUGGCACUGCCUCACCAUUGCUAAGGCUGACUUUGAACUCGUGGUCCUCCUGUCUCAACCUCCUGAGCUGCUAGGAUUAAAGGCAUGCACCACUGCACCCGCUAGAAUAAUUUUAACACAUUUUAAUAUCAUCAUAAUGGGGCACAUUCAAAAUUUUAAUUUGUUGUCUUACUGCAGGAAAUGAAUAGGGCUUCUUGCUGGUGGAGAUGACCAGCUCCGGAGCUCUGCCUGCCCCUUGUCCACACCACAGGGCUAAUGCGAACAGCAUCGAGGGAUAUCUACAACCUAGCAUUGUGGCACACCACUUGGGAAGCUCCAGCCUAAGGAUUGGUCUCAGCGGGACAAUCUUUUGUUUUGUAAGGAACAGAAAAGCAAACUUGAAUUGGCAUGUUUUAAAGGGGGUGGUAUUUAUUAGCUCACUUAAGAAGAAUUCAGAGAGCCAGGUGCAGUGGCACAUACCUAUAAUCCCAGUGACUCAAGAUGCUGAACACGCUCAAGGCCAGCCUGGGCAACUUAAGUGAAACCUUGCCUCAAAUUUUUAAAAAAUCAUAAAAAGGACUGGGGAUGUAGCUCAGCUGUAGAGCAUUUGCCUAGCAUAGGCAAGGCCCGGGGUUUAACUCCCAAUACUGGGAGUGGGGGUACACCAAGAGAAAUUCAAAGAUAGUGUUGAUUCAGACCCAGAUUUCCUAAGGACCCGUACCACAUGUCUUGGGUCCAUUUUCCAUCUCUGCUUUCUCUUGGUUAGCACUGCCUUAAGGCUUUCAUUAGUGGUCCUUAGAAAUUCUGGACUCAUCCAUCUCGGCAAAGACAGUCCUGAGCCUCACAACCUCAUAUCACUGAACCUCACAAAUAAGAGAGCACCUACAUCCCAGGAUUCCCAACGGAACUGCUUGAGGCCAUUCUGAUUGGAGUGGAUCAUGCUAACCAAGUUUCCUCUAUUGAGCUAGAAGUAGUCAAUACCAACUCAACCCAUGCGGCCAAUGAAGGGGGUCUAGUAGUUCCUGAAGGAACCAGAAGGAAAGAAAAAAGGAGUUAACUACAAGGGCAAACUACAGGGUAUCUUGCUUUAAACCAGAUGCAUCUGGAAGGGCCUUCUGUGUAGACCCCGAUUAAAGUCUAAUUUCAUAAUGUCUGCAACCACUGGACUGGCAGGACUAUCCCUAGGAGGAAAUAGCAAUAGAAAAAAAAAAAAAAAAGAGUAGGGACUGGAGCAGAUGAGGGUGGGGUGUUUUGCUGUAGUAGUUAGGAAUUCAUCUAACAGAGUGACUUGCCGAAAGUGGUUCAAAGUAUCACACAUCAGAGCUACAGAGCUGGAGGUGAUGGGGGGUAGGUAGUGGGAGGAGAGAGAAGGCAACUGGGAAGUAGCAUUAAAUAUGGCUUCAGCAUAAAAUUAUUUGUUGUGUUUUGAAAGCCAAGCGUCAGAAUGGUGUCUUUUGCUCAGUGCUGUAUUUCCAGUGACAAGCCCCCUAGG